ensembl:lncRNA
AUCAUUUGUAAAGUAUUUAAAUGAGUAUAUUUGUUUUUAACAUAAUAUUUACAUUAUUAUAUUAUAUAACGUAAUAUCAGUGAGAUACAAAAGGCACCCCAGUCAUGGAAUCAACCAUAUAAGAAGUAAAACCCAUAGAUAACACACAAGACUACUACGUCGGAGUGGUGUUUUGUCCACCAAGUCUAUCAUUUUCUGAUAUUGAAACACUUCAACAGGUCUAUGUUUUGCUCAUUCAGGACUAAAUUAUAACAGAAGUGUUGUCAUUUUUUUAGCUAGCUUUUUAAUCCACUGCAUAUCAGUAGACUACUACUACUACUAUACGAUUACUGGUAUGGUUGCGUAGUAUCGGGAGCAUGACUUUAGAGCUUUGUCCCGAUAUAAUACGGCAACGUACCUGCCAUCCUGUCACAUGGAUUUUCUGUAAUCGUGGUAUACAUGAUGAUAUUUGAUCAUUUUUAAUGUUAAGAGUUUGAAAAAUAAAUGUAGACAUCACCUGGUAUGUCACUUGGCUCUCUCCUUUUUAUAGCUGUCUAUUGCAUUUUACUCUAUAUACAGUAACUGGCAAAUAAGACAUGACAGAUGGUGUGCAAAUAUCAUUCUACACAUCCACUUACUCGUAGGCGUUUCUCAAGAUCUGUUCCAUGGCCAUGAAGAAUUGUGAAUGAUAAGAAUGAUGACUGAAAAUUCUAUUGUAUUAGACCAUUGUGGCCACAGGAACCUGAGCAUGGAGAUGGAUGAUAAUAUUGGACUUAAUGGAAUGACACAAAAAGACCCAGUCAGAGUCCGUGAUGUUGUGACAUAUGUGAUUUACCAUUAGAGUGUGUCACUUUAAGUGAAUUCUCAUUGUGAUGUCCAUGAAAUAAUUCAAUGGAGGCCACAGAUUUAGUAUGGUGUUCCCACAUGGCCACAAGUUUGGUGUCAUGGCCUCAAUACUGUAUAUUAUCUCAUGACCAGACCAUAUUAAAAAAUAACCACUAGGUCACUUGAUGUCAGCUUGAAUUGUGAUGUACUCUGUACUUGCACUUCUAUAUUUUGCUGUUUUAAGUACCAUUAUUUUGUAUGGCUACACACCAAAACUGACAUUAUGACAUUAAACUGACAAACUGUACAUCAUAUAAAGAGACACACAUAUAACCCCGAAAAAGUUGGGACAGUAUGAAAAAUGCAAAAAGAGUCAUUUGAAAAUUCACUUCACCCUGUACUAUAUUGAAAACACAUUAAUUGAUGUUUUACUUUGUGAAUUUAUUUUUUAAAAUAUACAGUCAUUUCAAAUCUGAUGACUGCAACACACUCCAAAAAAGUUGGGACAGUCGACUGUUUACCCCUGUGUAACAUCACCUUUUCUUUUAAUAACACGUUUGGUCGCUGAGUGAAGACACCAGUUGGUUCAGUUUAGCAAGCGGAAUUUUCCCCCAUUCAUCCAUUAUGCAUUUAUUCAGCUGCGCAACUGUACGGGGCUUCAUUACCUUAUUUUGUGCUUCAUAAUGCGCCACACAUUCUCAAUCUGAGACAGGUCAGGACUGCAGGCAGGCCAUGCUCGCACCCGCGCUCUCUGCUUAUGCAACCAUGCGUUUGUAUUCCGGGCAGAAUGCGGUUUGGCGUUGUCCUGCUCUGGAUGGCAGCAUAUGUUGAUCCAAACUGUGUAUAUAUCUUUCUGCAUUAAUGGUGCCAUCACAAAUGUGCAAGUUACCCAUGCCAACGGCACUGACACACCCCCAUACCAUGACAGACGCUGGCUUCUGGACCUGACGCUGAUAACAGCUUGGAUGGUCCUUUUCCUCUUUGGUCCAGAGAACACGACGGCUGUUUUGUCCAAAAACUAUUUGAAACGUCGACUCGUCAGACCACAAAACACCAUUCCACUGUGCUACUGUCCGUCUCAGAUGAGACCGAGCCCAGAGAAGUCGGCGGUGCUUCUUGACAGUGUUGAUGUGCGGCUUCUGCUUUGCAUAGUAAAGCCUUAAGUUGUAUUUGUGGAUGCAGCGGCGAAUGGUGUUGACUGACAAAGGUUUACCAAAGUAUUCCCGAGCCCAUGUCAGGAUAUCUAUUACAGAUUCAUAACGGUUUUUAAGACAGAGACAUCAGAGGGAUCGGAGAUCACACGCAUUCAGAAGUGGUUUUAGGCCUGGCCCUUUAUGUACCGAGAUUUGACUGGAUUCCUUGAAUCUUUUAAUUAUAUAGUGCACUGUAGAAGGUGAAAUGCCCAAAAUCCUACCGAUUUAUCUUUGGAGAAUGUUGUUCUCAAAGUGUUGGAUUAUUCGUUGAAGCAUCUGUUGGCAGAUUGGCGAGCCUCGACCCAUCCUUGCUCUUGAAGGUCUAGGCCUUUUUUGGAGCCUCCUUAUAUACUAUAAUUAGACGAUUGCUUCACCUGUUUCACAUCACCUUCUUAUUUCAACUUAUCACACCGCUAUUAGUCCUAAAUAGAAAGAACAUUACUGAAAUUAUUCUCAUGGCUGCAUCGGGAAGCUGCCGCAAGGUUGCGAUGUACUUUAACAGGAAACAUGGACAGCACAUCACAUACGACACUGUUAAAACUUAUUAAGAAAUUCAAAAGGCAUGGGUGUGUUGCAGACCAACCGAAAUGUGGACGUCCACGAACAGCCACCAACGGAGGCACAUGGUGCUGACAUAAAUAGUCAUGUUUGGGGACUUUUGGGAUACCCUGUGGUGUGUACGUGCAUGAGUGGAAAAGAAAAAUAAGAGAAGGUAACAAGUGCCACAUAAAGUAUGUUGUUUUAUGUUUCUAAUCCAGCUGCUGUGGAUUGAAACGCUUGUUAAACUAAAAUGAAAAUGUAAAACCAUGAGAUCUCACCUCAGAACUGAUGGCACUUUAAACCCAAUAUAAUACGUGAAUAUUUCAAAUAUUACUUCAUUCUCCCACAGACAUUCUUGACCAAUACUCACUGAAAGAUUGGAUUUUCUAAUGAAAACUGCAGAACGGUUAAUUUAAACACGUUUCUUUUAAUUAUUUUGAGGACAAUAUUACAUUUCCGCCUCCAAAUAAAGGGUCAAUGAUAAAUAAAGUCUUCUUACAAAAUAGUGAAAUCAACUACAAAUUAGACAAACAUACAGUAUGGUCCUUUCUUAUACAGUUACUAUCAUUCACAAAAUAUUUACAGUCUUAAUUUUGUCCCUUUACAUAAUUCAGCAAGAUAACAAUACUGUACCUUCAAGUACUGAAUAUUUCUUACUUUUUUUUUCUUUUCGUUUUUACAAAAGGUUUGCACUCCUGAGAAAAUGCUGCACUGUAUUUUAGUGCAUUUCAUAAUUCGUUUAAGCUACACAAUCUGACUUUUAUGAGCAAUUAUAAAUACUUUGCCUGAUUUACUGUAUGUUUCCCUGUUUAGUCUCACACAAAAGUGUGGCCAAGACUGAAACUGCACACGUCCUCAGAUUUUGUAAGGCCAUAAAGGGGGAAAAAAUGUAUUCCCUUUUUGUGUAUUAGGACCAUUUUCUCUCAUCAGAGUGUAAUUCC